GCGAAGGUGGCGGAAUUGGUAGACGCGCUAGCUUCAGGUGUUAGUGUCCUUACGGACGUGGGGGUUCAAGUCCCCCCCAGUGGGUCGGAGGUUCGAAUCCUCUCUCGCC
rnacentral:tRNA from 1 species